rnacentral:rRNA from 1 species
GUGGGGAAUAUUGCGCAAUGGAGGCAACUCUGACGCAGCCAUGCCGCGUGCAGGAAGAAGGCGCUACGCGUUGUAAACUGCUUUUAACCGGGAAGAAACCCCAGGACGUGUCCUGGGUUGACGGUACCGGAGGAAUAAGCACCGGCUAACUUCGUGCCAGCAGCCGCGGUAAUACGAAGGGUGCAAGCGUUAUCCGGAUUCAUUGGGUUUAAAGGGUGCGUAGGCGGAGCGUUAAGUCAGUGGUGAAAUCCUGCAGCUUAACUGUAGACUUGCCAUUGAUACUGGCGCUCUUGAGUGCGCUUGAAGUGGGCGGAAUGUGCCGUGUAGCGGUGAAAUGCUUAGAUAUGGCACAGAACACCAAUUGCGAAGGCAGCUCACUAAGGCGAUACUGACGCUGAGGCACGAAAGCGUGGGGAUCGAACAGGAUUAGAUACCCGGGUAGUCC